AACCAUAUACAUACUCAACAUAUAUUCAUAUACAACCCAUGCUUAACUUUAAAAGAACACACGUCAUUUCAUUACCGUAGGACCUCUACCUAAUAUAACCUUAAGACACACUUGAGUGAGACAAGAAGUGACCGCCCAUACAACCUCUUCAAGCACACUUAAGUGUUCCUCAAGAUUACCUUAGAUAAGGACAUUUCCU
rnacentral:lncRNA from 1 species